rnacentral:rRNA from 1 species
GUAAUACUCCAUAGUUCGUUAUUACUGGAAUGUUUUUCGAACGAAAGAUCCGUCGCUUCAGGAUGAGUCUGCGGCCGAUUAGGUAGUUGUUGGGGUAAUUGCCCAACAAGCCUGUAAUCGGUACGGGUUGUGGGAGCAAGAGCCCGGAGAUGGAUUCUGAGACACGAAUGCAGGCCGUACGGGGCGCAGCAGGCGCGAAAACUUUACCAUGCGGGCAACCGUGAUAAGGAAACCCCGAGUGCCAGCACAGGCUGGCUGUCCGCCAGUUUAAACAACUGGCGAAGAAAGGGCCGGGCAAGACCGGUGCCAGCCGCCGCGGUAAUACCGGCGGCUCGAGUGGUGGCCGCUAUUACUGGGCUUAAAGGGUCCGUAGCUUGAUAAUAGGGUCCCUUGAGAAAUCCGCCGGCUUAACUGGCGGGCGUUCAGGGGAAACUUGUUUUCUAGGGACCGGGAGAGGUGAGGGGUACUGCCGGGGUAGGAGUGAAAUCCUGUAAUCCCGGUGGGACCACCUAUGGCGAAGGCAUCUCACCAGAACGGGUCCGACAGUGAGGGACGAAAGCUGGGGGAGCAAACCGGAUUAGAUACCUCGGGUAGUCCCGAGCUGUAAACUAUGUGCGUUAGGUGU